rnacentral:rRNA from 1 species
CCUACGGGCGGCAGCAGUGGGGAAUAUUGCACAAUGGGGGAAACCCUGAUGCAGCGACGCCGCGUGAGUGAAGAAGUAUUUCGGAAUGUAAAGCUCUAUCAGCAGGGAAGAAGAAAGACGGUACCUGACUAAGAAGCCCCGGCUAACUACGUGCCAGCAGCCGCGGUACUACGUAGGGGGCAAGCGUUAUCCGGAGUUACGGGGUGUAAAGGGAGCGUAGACGGCUGUGCAAGUCUGAAGUGAAAGCCCAUGGCUCAACCCUGGGACUGCAUUGGAAACUGUGGAGCUAGAGUGCUGGAGAGGUAAGCGGAAUUCCUGGUGUAGCGGUGAAAUGCGUAGAUAUUAGGAGGAACACCAGUGGCGAAGGCAGCUUACUGGACAGUAACUGACGUUGAGGCUCGAAAGCGUGGGGAGCAAACAGGAUUAGAUACCCCAGUAGUC